CCCGGCUCGGGGCGCUGUCCCCGGGGGCCCGGCGGGAGCUCCGCACGCCGUUCCCGCUGAGGGCUUUCCGUGCCCAGCGGUAAAUGAACAUUGAUUUCUGUUGGCCAGGAGGUGGAGCAGUCAAACAAGGAAUGGAGCCCGCUCGCCGCCCGGCUCAGCCCCUGCGCGUGUUUGGGCCCGAGACGCUCCAGCAGCAGCCCGGUCACCUUCCAUCAGCCGUGAGGUGUGCCUCAGCUUAAAGAGUAAAUGGCUGUGACGUGUUUGGAGACUUCAAGGGACCAGAGAGAACAUUACCUAAUAAAUACUUACCUUUGUGAAAGAC